rnacentral:rRNA from 1 species
CCUACGGGUGGCAGCAGUCGGGAAUAUUGCGCAAUGGAGGAAACUCUGACGCAGUGACGCCGCGUAUAGGAAGAAGGUUUUCGGAUUGUAAACUAUUGUCGUUAGGGAAGAAAAAAGACAGUACCUAAGGAGGAAGCCCCGGCUAACUAUGUGCCAGCAGCCGCGGUAAUACAUAGGGGGCAAGCGUUAUCCGGAAUUAUUGGGUGUAAAGGGUGCGUAGACGGGUGUCUAAGUUGGUUGUGAAAUCCCUCGGCUCAACUGAGGAACUGCAACCAAAACUGGAUAUCUUGAGUGUCGGAGAGGAAAGUGGAAUUCCUAGUGUAGCGGUGAAAUGCGUAGAUAUUAGGAGGAACACCAGUGGCGAAGGCGACUUUCUGGACGAUAACUGACGUUGAGGCACGAAAGUGUGGGGAGCAAACAGGAUUAGAUACCCUUGUAGUC